rnacentral:rRNA from 1 species
UACGUAGGUGGCAAGCGUUGUCCGGAUUUACUGGGUGUAAAGGGCGUGUAGCCGGGCUUACAAGUCAGAUGUGAAAUCCGGGGGCUCAACCCCCGAACUGCAUUUGAAACUGUAGGUCUUGAGUAUCGGAGAGGCAGGCGGAAUUCCUAGUGUAGCGGUGAAAUGCGUAGAUAUUAGGAGGUACACCAGUGGCGAAGGCGGCCUGCUGGACGACAACUGACGGUGAGGCGCGAAAGCGUGGGGAGCAAACAGG